UGAAAUUCGCCUUCAUGAAGCUGGAAUUGCUAGUAAUGGCAGGUCAGCAUACUGCCGUGAAUACGUUCCCGGGCCUUGUACACACCGCCCGUCACACCAUGAGAGUUGGGAAUACCCGAAGCCUGUGAGCUAACUUAUAGAGGCAGCAGUCGAAGGUAGAAUCAAUGAUUGGGGUGAAGUCGUAACAAGGUACC
rnacentral:rRNA from 1 species